UGUUGUCAUUAUCUUAGUUAGUUAGUUAGUUAGAGGUCCAGAUAAUUGUUGUAUGGGCAAGACUCCUGUCCCUCCCUCUCCUUCCCUCCCUUCCUCUCCACCUGUCCCCCAAGUUCCCAGUCUGUGGAGGUCCAGAUAAUUGUUGUAUGGGCAAGACUCCUGUCCCUCCCUCUCCUUCCCUCCCUUCCUCUCCCUCUCCCCCAAGUUCCCAGUCUGUGGAGGUCCAGAUAAUUGUUGUAAGGGCAAGACUCCUGUCCCUCCCUCUCCUUCCCUCCCUUCCUCUCCCUCUCCCCCAAGUUCCCAGUCUGUGGAGGUCCAGAUAAUUGUUGUAAGGGCAAGACUCCUGUCCCUCCCUCUCCUUCCCUCCCUUCCUCUCCCUCUCCCCCAAGUUCCCAGUCUGUGGAGGUCCAGAUAAUUGUUGUAUGGGCAAGACUCCUGUCCCUCCCUCUCCUUCCCUCCCUUCCUCUCCCUCUCCCCUAAGUUCCCAGUCUGCAGAGGUCCAGAUAAAUGUUGUAAGGGCAAGACUCCUGUCCCUCCCUCUCCCUUCCUUUCCAGUCUUUCUCUCUUGUUCCAUUAUUUAUUUUCUCUCCCUCCCUCUUUCUUUGCUCUCUCCCUUCUUUCAUCUCCUCUCCCUUCAGCCGCAUUAUCGUCUUCCUUCUAAUCCAUAGCAUUUUCUCUCUCCCUUUUACAUCUGCUUUAUUUCUCUCUCUCUCUCUCUCUCUCUCUCUCUCUCUCUCUCUCUCUCUCUCUCUCUCUUCAAACCCAUUGGAAUAACAAUAAUAAUAACACACACUACAAGUCCAUCUUUAUUUAUCAACAGCACACACACACACACACACACACACACACACACACACACACACACACAGGGGAGGUCAUGUGGCUAUCUAUGGUGUGGGUUGGGUUGCUGUCUAAGAGGGCAUGUGUCUGUAGGGUGACAUCCUGUUGACCUUGUGACCUGAGAGGGGGGGGGGGGUCCUUUUAUGUGGCUGGGGGGUAUGUGUCUGUGGGGAUUGUCAACAUACUGUGGUGAGACAUCCUGUGGGGUCCUGUGGGCUGUGGUGAGGUGAGGUGAGUGAGUAUAUAGAUAUAUAGAUAUAUAUAUAUAUAUAUAUAUAUAUAUAUAUAUAUAUAUAUAUAUAUAUAUAUAUAUAUAUAUAUAUAUAUAUAUAUAUAUAUAUAUAUUUUCCUUCUUGAACAUCUCCAGGACUUGUUCAGUCUCCCAGGUGAUCUCUUCUCCUGACACUGCCACAUCAAGAGGAGGAGGAGGAGGAGGAAAGAGAGAGAGGAGGUACUCUCUGUGUGUAUAUAUGUAUGUCUGUGUAUAAGGUUCCAUAGGCGAGAUCUUCCCCCGGCCUUCUAUGGGGCUCAAAUUAUGCCCCCACAGAAGGGUUCGGGGAGGAGCCAGUCUGUGGAGCCUGAUUGAACGUUGUCAAAAUAUAUAUUAAUAAAGUUUUUGAAAUUAUGAAGAAAUUGUGUUUUACUGUGUGUGUGUGUGUGUGUGUGUGUGUGUGUGUGUGAGAGAGAGAGAGAGAGAGAGAGAGAGAGAGAGAGAGAGAGAGAGAGAGAGAGAGA